GUUUCUUGCCACCGAACCAUCCUUGACUAAGACACCUUACGACACAGCUGCUGGCCCGCCCCCGGCUUGCCUCCGGCUCGCCCCCCACCGCCCACUCCCUCUCUCUUUCCUUCUCCCGGAGUCUGUUUCCCGUUUCUAUUGAGACAGCCACGCUGCACACACAGGGCCUGAAUUCUCACUUGAACAAACGCUGGCCUGGCCUGGUCCCAAAGAGGACAAGCAGCAACCCCGUGACUUAGCCACACAACAGGUGAGCCGGGCCGUGCCAGCAUUCACACCAACUUGCCUCGGACCUGCUGGGCUGACUGUGAGAGCCUCCCGACAACAAGCCGGACUGCCUGGGCCGGAAUUCCUGGACGUUUGCAGCAGCCAUGUCCUGAGAGCCGCGGGAGCGCAGCGGAGAAGGCGAUGGCACCCCACUCCAGUACUCUUGCCUGGAAAAUCCCAUGGACGGAGGAGCCUGGUAGGCUGCAGUCCAUGGGGUUGCGAAGAGUCAGACACGACUGAGCGACAUUUACUUUUUAUGUACUACUGCCCAGCGCAGGUGGGCUCAGUACAGUCUCUGGAACAGACUGACAGAGGCUUCACGCAACACAUGCUUCCACAGCCACCACCAAGGCCAGGAGGAAACGUGGUCACACCCUAUGGCACGUGGGAUCUUAGUUCCCCGACCGAAGAUCGAACCCCUGCCCCCUACAGCGGAAGCACAGAGUCUUAACCACUGGACCACCAGCGAAGUCCCUGCCACAGAUGAACAUCCCUACUUAUCGACAUUUCUGAUUGAAAGGGUACUGAUCACUAACCAUUUCAUUUAAAAUGUACAUUAGCCUUAAAGGCAACUUCUCUCAUUUUCUUUUACUAGAUGAUUCUGGCUGUGCUCUCCCAGAGGAAAUGACUCGAUUGAAAUGUUGGGAGAGCAAGUCUGCCUUCAUCCAUGAAGCCUUGGAAUCGUGAAUGACUAUUUGUUUAUACUCUGAAGCCUUUCACUUUGGAAUUCUUGGCGAUGCUCACUUCAGUUCCUGGAGAUGCGCAACUGAAUCCAGAAGGAGCAUCUGUCUCAGUCAAGACUCACAGGGAUCCGCCUGGAGCCACAGUCGACAGGCCAGCCCCUUCCUCCUGCCAGCUUACAGGACAGCCCAGACUUUCUCUGCGAGUGGUCCAUGGCUAAUCUUAGUCUCCGAUGUUUUUGUUGAGAAGCAGAACAUGUCUUACGUGCAUAUUUAGUUUAUGAGAGAGAUAGCAGAAAACAUCACUUUUCUGCCCUCAAGUAGUAGGAUUAUGACUAUGUUUUUAUUUCCGUCCAAAAAUUCACAUAACAUUAAAAGGGAAAUGUAACAUAGUAAUUGAAACAAAUUGGAAAUUUCUAUGGCCAUAACAUUUAUGAGUUCAAAUUUCAUGUGAGCACAUGGAAAUAGUUAGUGAGCAUAGGUUGGCAGCAUCCAAAUUAC
ensembl:lncRNA